rnacentral:rRNA from 1 species
GUAACGAUAAAGCGGGUGAAAAGCCCGCUCGCCGGAAGACCAAGGGUUCCUGUCCAACGUUAAUCGGGGCAGGGUGAGUCGACCCCUAAGGCGAGGCCGAAAGGCGUAGUCGAUGGGAAACAGGUUAAUAUUCCUGUACUUGGUGUUACUGCGAAGGGGGGACGGAGAAGGCUAUGUUGGCCGGGCGACGGUUGUCCCGGUUUAAGCGUGUAGGCUGGUUUUCCAGGCAAAUCCGGAAAAUCAAGGCUGAGGCGUGAUGACGAGGCACUACGGUGCUGAAGCAACAAAUGCCCUGCUUCCAGGAAAAGCCUCUAAGCAUCAGGUAACAUCAAAUCGUACCCCAAACCGACACAGGUGGUCAGGUAGAGAAUACCAAGGCGCUUGAGAGAACUCGGGUGAAGGAACUAGGCAAAAUGGUGCCGUAACU